UCUUCUGCGAGCGGUGCGA
rnacentral:misc_RNA from 1 species